AUGACUGUGUUUUGUGCAGCGGCACAGACGGAUGGAUGGGAUAUUAGGCUUACAUGUCAGCCGCCGAACUCACCUGAUUUGAACAUUCUUGACUUAGGAUUCUUUGCUGCACUUCAGGCUCUUUUUGAGAAGAUGUCCCCUGGUAAAAUUGCUGAUAUUGUUGCAAAGGUGAAAAAAGCAUAUGACACCUACCCGGCUGAGAGAAGCAACCGUAUUUUUCUUACCCUUCAGUCAUGCAUGUGCGAGGUACUGAAGCAGAAAGGAGGUGACCGGUACAAGGUUCCGCACAUGAGGAAGUCAUUUCUGGCGGCACUCGAAAUGCUUCCGGACGUAGUACCCUGCGAUGCUGAUGUUGUAAUUGCUGCUAUUGAAGCCCUUCCAGAUGCUUGA
rnacentral:rRNA from 1 species